GGAGCGUUUGCACCUCUGGUGAGGGCCCUGGUCUUCAAAACCAGUGGGCGCAUGGGCAACAUGCGCCAGUGGGUUCGAUUCCCAUACGCUCCCGCCA
rnacentral:tRNA from 1 species